rnacentral:rRNA from 1 species
CAGUCGCCGCGGGAAUACAGAGGGUGCGAGCGUUAAUCGGAUUUACUGGGCGUAAAGCGUGCGUAGGCGGCUAAUUGAGUCGGAUGUGAAAUCACCGAGCUUAACUUGGGAAUUGCAUUCGAUACUGGUUAGCUAGAGUGUGGGAGAGGAUGGUAGAAUUCCAGGUGUAGCGGUGAAAUGCGUAGAGAUCUGGAGGAAUACCGAUGGCGAAGGCAGCCAUCUGGCCUAACACUGACGCUGAGGUACGAAAGCAUGGGGAGCAAACAGGAUUAGAUACCCCCGUAGUCCCUGUCUCUUAUAC